rnacentral:lncRNA from 1 species
UGGUUGGCAAGUCGACUCCAAAGAAAGCAUGAGUCGACUCUAAGCGGAACACAAAGAAAAAGUCAGAGAGCAUUUUUGGGACUCUGAGAUUCGAGUCGACUCCCGCAUUGCACGAGUCGACUCCGAGACUCCGCGACCAUCAACAGACAGAAAACCAAGUUACUGCCUCUGAGAUUCGAGUCGACUCCCAGACAGCUCGAGUCGACUCCAAGACAGCUUCACAUCAAAAGGCAGAAGACCAAGUUUUGGAAACUGAGAGCCGAGUCGACUCCGAGGAAGUUCGAGUCGACUCCAAGACUGGACGAGCCAAAAGACAGAGGAUCGGGAGUUCGGGCUCUGAGAUUCGAGUCGACUCCCAGGACAGUCGAGUCGACUCGAGUGGAUCAAAUUCAAAAUUGGAUCCACGGAC